CCCUGGCGUAGGCCUUACCAGGGAGGCUGAGGAGUGUGAUCCCCCUGUAGUUGGAACACCACCCCAGUCUUUCAGUUUGAAUUUUCGUCGAAACUCCAUUUCAAAAUGCUGUGCAGAAAUAUUUAUGAUGCAAUAUGCACGGCUGCGGCGGAAUACUUCUAAUCUGUGGAAGCACCUGCAGUGUUUCACCUACCACUAUUCAAGGGGGGCACCCCGCCCUACCAACCAGACCGCCGUGCCCCCAAGAGGAUCACAGCAUGUAGUAAUAGUUUAACAGUUAAUGUCAUUCGUUUUAUUGGAUCACGUCGUGAAGGAUUUCUGUCCCUGUGUUGUCACUACUCUUCUUUCUAUGGCCAAACAUGGCAAAAGCUGGACGAAAACACACUCAUCAUACUCUGUGUCACCAACGGUGACACUGACACACUGAGUUAGGUGCACUCGAACGGAGGUGAACACAUGCUCCUGACAGCGGACAGAAAGCCAUGCCGCUAAAACCUAGAAAGCACGCAAGGAUAUCUGUGGUUUUAAAAAGCGGCAAAUUUAGUUUUGAUGGCAGCACUUCAUCUCCUGCGAGCUAACUCUCCUACUCUUGGUACAUUUGGCGAAGAUAGAAGUAAACAAAAUAGACCAAGUGAUUCAUGCCCUGACUCUGACACACAGCUAAAGUCCAGUCUCCACCAAAUAAAAGUUUUUUACCUAGUUUCAAACCAUUAAAAUGAAUUUAAUGGUUUGAAACUGAAUUCCUUGGCUUUUAAACUGAAUUUGUUUGCUUUGAAAAUUGCUUUGCUAUGUAUUGAAAAUUCCAUUUGAUAACUUUCAUUUUCUAUUCCAAAAUUCAAUUCCAGUUCCAAAAUUCCGUUUUUUUUGUGUCACACAUCAAAGUCCUUGAAACCACAGAUUAAUUAAACACAGAAUUACUGAUUCACGGAUGUCAUUCACUAUUGCUGUGUUCAAAUUCAGAUGCGACUUUUAUGGCCAUACAGUGAAGUAAAAACGAAUGCUGUCAGAGAGGUGCUGAUUAUAUUGGUUCAGACACUUUUGGUUUGUUUUACAAGCCCUGCUACUGCAACACAUUGAGGGGCAGAGAAGAAAGAGUGCUUGGAGACCAGCUGCUUUACACCAGCUCUCGCCUCCGUAGUGGGAUCCUAUUCACGUGAUAGAAGAUACACUCUGCCUAGGGAUUUUGUCUUUAACUGUCUCUUUCAAGGAUAAUGCCAGUGAGCUAUUGCUGCAGGUAUUUACUCUUAAUUUUCUUAUCCCAUUGAUACUACUACUGGCUCAGUGCUUUCUUGUUUUAUUGUGUUUCUUAGAUGGAACUACUAAUGGUAUUAGUGAUGUCACUAACGGUGUGUGCUGUAUUCUUUCCCAAAUAAACUACUCCUGGACUGGUG